AUUGAACGCUGGCGGCAGGCCUAACACAUGCAAGUCGAACGAGUGGCGGACGGGUGAGAAAUGUCUGGGAAAAUGCCUGAUGGAGGGGGAUAACUACGGGAAACGGUAGAUAAUACGGCAUACCAGCAGAUGAGACCAGAUGGGAGUAGCUAGUUGGUGGGGUAACGGCUCACAAAGGCGACGAUCCAUAGCUGAUCUGAGAGGAUGACCGGCCACACUGGAACUGAGACACGGUCCAGACUCCUACGGGAGGCAGCAGUGGGGAAUCUUGCGCAAUGGGCGUAAGCCUGACGGAGCCAUGCCGCGUGUGUGAAGAAGGCCUUCGGGUCGUAAAGCACUUUCAUCAGGGAGGCGUUACCUGCUCAGAAAGCCCCGUCUAACUCCGUGCCAGCAGCCGCGGUAAUAC
rnacentral:rRNA from 1 species